rnacentral:rRNA from 1 species
CCGUGUAUGUGCGCCCAGUGGGGAAUCAGUGGUACUAACCAUCCAUUGAUCUGCUGGUCAUGCUUUGUGUGUGGUGGGUGGUGAUGUGCGUGGGAUCUUCGUUGGUAGUAGCCAAGUGAUGGGGUGCCGCAGUGAGGUAGCCGAGCCAUUUAUUGGAUUGUGGAGUAAGCGUGUGGCCCGUGGCAUAGGUUAAUCCGUGUCGCUUAUUUGGGUGAGGCGUGAUGCGUAGACAUUUGUGGGUGAU